ncrna:unclassified sequences AdoCbl variant RNA
GUACUGAAGUUUAGGUGGGGAACAAUGUGCAAAUCAUUGACUAUCCCUGUAACGGUAAGAAUUACAUUCAAGUCCGAGCGCCACCCAGUAU